AAAUCCACAUGGAGGGAAAAGCCCACAGACUGAGGAUAUCUCUGCCUGCUCUGAGUUGCUUUCAGUCUUCCUUUUGUGACAACCCUAAAUGAGCUGGUUUUGCUGUAAGGUUUAACAUAUCUCAGUCUGCUGCUGGGUUGGAGAUAGGGAGAUUCUACUGUUUGGGACAGUCAAAUUUUGGAGGAAGCUGGGACCGGUACCUCGGGCAUGCAACUGCCCCUGGGAUAGAUCUGUUUAGGCAUGCUAGCCUUUGGAAUUGAAAAGAUUCUGCACAGCCUUGAUGAUAGCUGGCCAUGGGAAAAAACACACCUAUUCAGGCUGCUGGCAAACUGAGUGCAGUGUAACACUAUAUGCUCCCUGCUACAGUAGAGUUUUAAUUUUAAUAAUUUGGUGAAAGUUUGUGCAAUUGUAGUGUAUAACUUAAAAAUAAUAAUAGUAAAA